AGAGCGAACGCUGGCGGCAGGCCUAACACAUGCAAGUCGAGCGCCCCGCAAGGGGAGCGGCAGACGGGAGAGUAACACGUGGGAACGUACCCUUUGGUUCGGAACAACACAGGGAAACUUGUGCUAAUACCGGAUAAGCCCUUACGGGGAAAGAUUUAUUGCCAAAGGAUCGGCCCGCGUCUGAUUAGCUUGUUGGUGAGGUAACGGCUCACCAAGGCUACGAUCAGUAGCUGGUCUGAGAGGAUGAUCAGCCUCACUGGGACUGAGACACGGCCCAGACUCCUACGGGAGGCAGCAGUGGGGAAUAUUGGACAAUGGGCGCAAGCCUGAUCCAGCCAUGCCGCGUGGAUGAUGAAGGCCCUAGGGUUGUAAAGUCCUUUCGACGGGGAAGAUAAUGACGGUACCCGUAGAAGAAGCCCGGCUAACUUCGUGCCAGCAGCCGC
rnacentral:rRNA from 1 species